rnacentral:rRNA from 1 species
AGAGAGAGACAUGCGCGCAUAUCAAUAAGCGGAGGAAAAGAAACUAACAAGGAUUCCCUCUAGUAACGGCGAGUGAAGCGGGAAGAGCUCAAAUUUGAAAUCUUAAAGGGUUUCCCUUUACGAAUUGUAGUUUAAAGAAGUGUUUUCUGUUGAGGUUUUGGUAAAAGUUCUUUGGAAUAGGACAUCAUAGAGGGUGAGAAUCCCGUAUUUGACCUUUACUUUCAACUUUGUGAUACACUUUCAAAGAGUCGGAUUGUUUGGGAAUGCAGUCCAAAAUGGGUGGUAAAUUUCAUCUAAAGCUAAAUAUUGGCGAGAGACCGAUAGCGAACAAGUACCGUGAGGGAAAGAUGAAAAGAACUUUGAAAAGAGAGUUAAACAGUACGUGAAAUUGUCAAAAGGGAAGCGUUUGACACCAGUGUUGUUUUUCUGAAAAUCAAUUAAAGAACUGUUUAUGCUAAGUUGUUUAGACUUUAUCAGCUAACUGUUUAGUUUUGAGCUUUUCUUUAAUGCACUUUUCAGUUAACAAGUCAACAUCAAUUUCUUUUGCUGUAAAAAAGCUUGAGGAAGGUGGCUUGAGAUUCGUCUUAAGUGUUUAUAGCCUCUUGCCUAUGCAGUCGGAGAGAUUGAGGUCUGCAGCGUAGAUCCUUCGGGGCUAAAUGCAUUUGUGCUAAGUUAUAGCAUUUUAUAGACAACUUGUUGACUAUGAUUUGUCUUGUAGCUUACUCGCUUAUGUUAUUUUACCUACGCUUAGGAUGUUGAGCGCAUGUCUCUCUCU